AGCGAGGUCGUCUAACGGUAGGGCGCGUGAUUGUUACUCACGUGGUAGGGGUUCGAGUCCCUUCCUCGCUGCCA
rnacentral:tRNA from 1 species